rnacentral:ribozyme from 1 species
AUGGCUGCUCAGCAAGGCCACCUGCCCGUGGUCAAGCUGCUGGAGCCACCUGCCCGAGCGGUGGAGAAGCUCAGCGGGGUGGCC